AACGAACGCUGGCGGCAUGCCUAACACAUGCAAGUCGAACGAGACCUUCGGGUCUAGUGGCGCACGGGUGCGUAACGCGUGGGAACCUGCCCUUAGGUUCGGAAUAACUCCCCGAAAGGGGUGCUAAUACCGGAUAAUGUCUUCGGACCAAAGAUUUAUCGCCUUUGGAUGGGCCCGCGUUGGAUUAGCUAGUUGGUAGGGUAAAAGCCUACCAAGGCGACGAUCCAUAGCUGGUCUGAGAGGAUGAUCAGCCACACUGGGACUGGGACACGGCCCAGACUCCUACGGGAGGCAGCAGUGGGGAAUAUUGGACAAUGGGCGAAAGCCUGAUCCAGCAAUGCCGCGUGAGUGAUGAAGGCCUUAGGGUUGUAAAGCCCUUUUACCCGGGAUGAUAAUGACAGUACCGGGAGAAUAAGCUCCGGCUAACUCCGUG
rnacentral:rRNA from 1 species